GCCGGCUUCGCCCCCGGCCCCUGGGGCGGCGGCUCCGGCCCCCAGCCCGCGAGCGGGCUCGCGGCGGAGCGGGCAGGGCGGUUUGGCUCCUAUGAAAUGCCUCGCUAAUGGUAGGGGAAAACAUAUGGCCCUGGAGAAAACUCGGAGGAGUCCAGCAGCUAUCGCUUCCAGCGGCUAUUUCCCCGAGUCGGUGCGAAGUGAGAACUUCCUCCCGGGAUGCCCUUUCGGGGGUUGCGGGGCUGAGCACAUGGCUGCCUCCCCUGGGUCUGCCCCGCGUCUGUCACAGCACUGCCUGCCAAGGGGCCUGCCGGCGCCUGCUCUCCUUUCUGAGUGCUAAUCUGACCUCAAGAAAACUUCAGCUGGGUGAGGAGAGGAGGCUGAUCCAAAAGGCUUUACUGCAGGGAGCCUCUGGGAGUUCCAGGGUGAAGAAAUCUGCCUUCAUCUGGAGACCUCUGCUGAAGGUGAAGACCUCGUAACAGGCCAGACAGCCUUGGCAGGAGUUCAGAAGUCUUACACCAAGAUCGCUGCCGGUCGUGGAGCGCAAAGGGGACGGCCAGAAUCCCACAUCUUUCAGCGAGAAGAAAGGAGUCAGCGGAGCAGACUAAUACGGACUUGUGUCGGGUGCCCUUGCCCUACAAAGGCUGCCUUUAAAAGAGAAACGCAGUGUUAUUUAAUGAGCUGUGAGAUGAGGCACUGCUGCUAACGCUCAGAUCCCAGGAUUCAUCGGCUACUCAUUGUGCUUAAUGUACAUGUUUCUGCACCGUGCAUUUAGGAGAUCCCAGAGAAGAAUCCAAAACGGCUG
rnacentral:lncRNA from 1 species